UAUAAUCUUGAUGUUUCUCCA
rnacentral:miRNA from 1 species